AGAGUUUGAUCAUGGCUCAGAACGAACGCUGGCGGCAGGCUUAACACAUGCAAGUCGAGCGCCCCGCAAGGGGAGCGGCAGACGGGUGAGUAACGCGUGGGAACGUACCCCCCGGUUCGGAAUAACCCAGGGAAACUUGGGCUAAUACCGGAUACGGCUGAGAGGCGAAAGAUUUAUCGCCGGGGGAUCGGCCCGCGUCCGAUUAGCUAGUUGGUGUGGUAAUGGCGCACCAAGGCGACGAUCGGUAGCUGGUCUGAGAGGAUGAUCAGCCACAUUGGGACUGAGACACGGCCCAAACUCCUACGGGAGGCAGCAGUGGGGAAUAUUGGACAAUGGGCGCAAGCCUGAUCCAGCCAUGCCGCGUGAGUGAUGAAGGCCUUAGGGUUGUAAAGCUCUUUCGCCCACGACGAUAAUGACGGUAGUGGGAGAAGAAGCCCCGGCUAACUUCGUGCCAGCAGCCGCGGUAAUACGAAGGGGGCUAGCGUUGUUCGGAAUUACUGGGCGUAAAGCGCGUGUAGGCGGGUCCUUAAGUCAGGGGUGAAAUGCCAAGGCUCAACCUUGGAACUGCCUUUGAUACUGGGGAUCUUGAGUCCGGGAGAGGUGAGUGGAACUGCGAGUGUAGAGGUGAAAUUCGUAGAUAUUCGCAAGAACACCAGUGGCGAAGGCGGCUCACUGGCCCGGAACUGACGCUGAGACGCGAAAGCGUGGGGAGCAAACAGGAUUAGAUACCCCGGUAGUCC
rnacentral:rRNA from 1 species